UCCGGUUUAACACCGGCAGUCUCCCUAGAGUGCCCAACUAAAUGGUGGCAACUAGGGACAAGGGUUGCGCUCGUUAAGGGACUUAACCCGACAUCUCACGAUACGAGCUGACGACAGCCAUGCAGCACCUGUACUCCCGGCCUCCGAAGAGGAAACCCUAUCUCUAGGGCUGUCCGGGGAUGUCAAACCCAGGUAAGGUUUUUCGCGUUGCAUCGAAUUAAACCACAUGCUCCACCGCUUGUGCGGGCCCCCGUCAAUUCUUUUGAGUUUUAACCUUGCGGCCGUACUUCCCAGGCGGGGUACUUAAUGCGUUAGCGUCGGCACUGCAGGGGUCAAUUCCCGCAACACCUAGUACCCAUCGUUUAGGGCGUGGACUAC
rnacentral:misc_RNA from 1 species